GACGAACGCUGGCGGCGUGCUUAACACAUGCAAGUCGAACGAUGAAGCCUUAGCUUGCUUUGGUGGAUUAGUGGCGAACGGGUGAGUAACACGUGAGCAACGUGCCCAGGACUCUGGAAUAACCGCGGGAAACCGUGGCUAAUACCGGAUAGGUGCCGAGGCCGCAUGGUCUUCGGUUGGAAAGUUUUUGCGGUUCUGGAUCGGCUCACGGCCUAUCAGCUUGUUGGUGGGGUAAUGGCCUACCAAGGCGACGACGGGUAGCCGGCCUGAGAGGGUGACCGGCCACACUGGGACUGAGACACGGCCCAGACUCCUACGGGAGGCAGCAGUGGGGAAUAUUGCACAAUGGGCGCAAGCCUGAUGCAGCAACGCCGCGUGGGGGAUGACGGCCUUCGGGUUGUAAACCUCUUUUAGUAGGGAAGAAGCGAAAGUGACGGUACCUGCAGAAAAAGCACCGGCUAACUACGUG
rnacentral:rRNA from 1 species